rnacentral:lncRNA from 1 species
UGAAGAGGGAUCCUGGAGAAGUAAACUCACUUGAAGAAAGAUAUGAUUUUGACAGUAUCAUGCGCUAUGCCAGGAUCACCUUCUCAAGAGAAGAGGCCACAUGAGGCAAGAAGGCAGCCAUCAGCAAGCCAGGAAGAGAGCCCUCCCCAGAAACCAACCCUGACGGCACUUCAAUCUCAGACUUCCAGGCUCCAGAACUGUGAGAAAAUGCAUUUCUGUUGUUUAAGCCACCCAGUCUGUGGUAGCUGGUAUGGAAGCCCCGGCAAGCUGAUGCACGGUCUUAAGAGGUAGGUAUUAUCAUUCCCAUUUAUAGAUGAGGAAACUGAGGCUCAGAGAGAUUGACUUGACUAAGAUCCACAGGUGGUAAGCCACUCAUCCGCUGCCUUGCAUUGGAGGCUUCCUUUUAGCAAGCCUUUUGUAUUGGCAGAGAAUUUUCUGCACAUAUCCUUGAAGAACCACCUCUUUACCCACGCUAUUUCUAAAGCUCUAGCUGUGACUCUGCCUUCCAGCCUGCUGUGCAGAUCCACACAACAAUGUAACCACAGGGCCUGCUCUGCAAGAUCACCCAGAGCAGGCUUCCCAGUCUCGGAGGUGCAGAAAUGUGCUGUACUUUCUCUGUCCUCCUGCAGUAGUGAGAGGGAGUUUUAUGAUAAGUCGGCUAUACACUUUUCAGCUGGAGAAGAGUGACUUUGUGGCUAGACAGGAUUCCACAUGAGUCCCCUGCUUCCUAAGUGAAGCAUGUGCUUCCUGCUGUGACUGCGACGCUGCAAGGUGCACAGAGAAGCCUUGCUGCAAGGCUUCCAGUCACCUUCCUGUAAGUGCCUUGAGUUCCCAACUGCCUGGCUGCAAGUCCAGUUCAACAUGAACCCUACUGAAGCAAGUUUUGAAGUUUUAGUUUGAACCAGAUGAACUUAUGAUUUUUGUAAGUAAAAAAUGACCAAAUAUCAGCAAUUUCAUGCGAAUCAACCUAAUGUAGUUGGCCCUUUAACCCUGCCCCCUCCGUCUCAUCAUGUCCUCUCAGGCUGUCCUCAGAUCACCCCAGAUCCCUGGCUUCCUCCUCCCACCCUCCCUGGCAGGGUCCCCAUGAUGGACGGGGAUGGACGCCUGGGAGAGAACUCCACAAAGAAACAGAGAGGAAAUGGUCAGAGAGGUAGGAGGAUAGUGUCAGGGUCCAGAACACAUUACCCCAACAUGUGGCCCCUUGGUCUGCUGAAUAUUUUACAUGGAAGGAAAUG